GACGAACGCUGGCGGCGUGCUUAACACAUGCAAGUCGAACGAAGUGGCAAACGGGUGAGUAACGCGUAAUCAACCUGCCCUUCAGAGGGGGACAACAGUUGGAAACGACUGCUAAUACCGCAUACUGAAGGUGGUGUUUGCGUCUGAUUAGCUAGUUGGGGGGGUAACGGCCCACCAAGGCGAUGAUCAGUAGCCGGUCGGGGGGGAUGAAGGGCCAAAAUGGGGAUGGGAAACGGGCCAGACUCCCACGGGAGGCAGCAGGGGGGAAACUUGCGAAAUGGAGGAAAGUCUGAAGGAGCAAAGGCGCGUGAGAGAUGAAGGCCUUCGGGUUGUAAAGCUCUGUUAAUCGGGACGCGGUACCGGAAUAGAAAGCAACGGCUAACUACGUGCCAGCAGCCGCGGUAAUAC
rnacentral:rRNA from 1 species